CUUCAUUCGUUUGAAAGUAUAUUUAGAGGGAAAUGGCCACGGCCACUACUGAUAUAGUAAUUGGACCUUGGGGAGGUGAAGGUGGGGAUACUCCCUGGAUAUUCAAACCAGAGGGUAGGAUUGUCGAUAUAUCCAUCCGAAGUGGAGAAGCAUUAGAUUCCAUUAGCUUCAACUAAAUGGAUAAGGAGGGUCUUGAAGACGAUUCUGAAAUAUAUGGUGGCGAUGGUGGCUUACUACAUGCGGUGAGCUUGAGUAACAUUUGUUACGUAUUCAUGUGUAGAAGUUAUAUUCUUAUUUUAUCAUAUAGCAUUCAAUUAUGACAUAUUUGGAUAUUCAAUUUGCUUUGUGUGAGGGUGAAAACAUUGGGAUCAGUAGCGGAUGCAGACCAAUUUAGUGGGGUGCAUGGACCCCACUUAAAACGUGGGUCCCACCAUAAUUAAUAUUAAAAAAAUAUUCUUAUUUUUACAAAAAGCCCCCUCUUGGCACCCACUUUUACACUAAAUAGCUCAUAUAGACAUUUGUUUUUAUUAAAAAAUCCAAUAUUUUUAAAAUUUUUAGAAUUUUAUACUAUUAUAUAUUUUUAAUGAAUAAUGGACCCCAGUUAGUUUUCGUUCUGGAUCCGCCAUGGAUCCGCCACUGAUUGGGAUUAGUGGAACUAUCGAAAAAGUUUCAAACAACACAGUGAUUACAUCAUUGUCUUUCAAGACAGACAUAGAAUCCUAUGGGCCAUACGGAAUGGAGGAGGGGGCAACUUUUUCUGUGUUGGUCAUUAAAAGUAUAAUUGUUGGAUUCCAUGGAAAACAUGGGUAUUUGCUCGACUCUAUCAGUGUCAUUCUUACUCCUGCAGAGUGAGGCUGGCCGAGAUAAUUAAUCUGUGGCAUGCAGCAUGCUAGCUGUUUGAAAUGAUACCAUUUUCAUAAUAAAGAAGCCUGAGAUCGAGAAACAUUGUGAAAUAGUUGUGUUGUUGAUAAUUAGUGGUCCAGAUCUGCCACUCGUACGUAGGCUUUAUGUUUUAAGAUCCUAUCAUGUAUGCACAAUAAUUAUGUGAGAUUUUAAAUAUAAGCACACAUAUAUAGGAAGUUAUAGUGACAAACUGACAAUAUGCUCACCCACUUAUGUACUCCUUUGAUUAAAAGCUUCAAAAUGAUUUUUUUUCUUUUU